CAGUCGCCACGGUAAUACAGAGGGUGCGAGCGUUAAUCGGAUUUACUGGGCGUAAAGCGUGCGUAGGCGGCUUUUUAAGUCGGAUGUGAAAUCCCUGAGCUUAACUUAGGAAUUGCAUUCGAUACUGGGAAGCUAGAGUAUGGGAGAGGAUGGUAGAAUUCCAGGUGUACCGGUGAAAUGCGUAGAGAUCUGGAGGAAUACCGAUGGCGAAGGCAGCCAUCUGGCCUAAUACUGACGCUGAGGUACGAAAGCAUGGGGAGCAAACAGGAUUAGAUACCCCAUUAGUCCCUGUCUCUUAUAC
rnacentral:rRNA from 1 species